UAAGCUGAACGCACAUAUAGACAAGAGUUCAUGCCUUAAAUACUUAUACACAAAUAUUUGCAAAAUUGUUACUGGCACAACAUGACUCAGCUCUCUUGAAAUAAUUGAACCAUCUGAUUUAUACCACUAAUUUUCAUUCACUGUGCUGUAAACUCCUGGAAGCUGACCCUGUUCAAAAGAAUGUGAUAUAGAAAACAGAUUAAUUUUUUUUUUUUUUUCCCCUGCAGGGAAGGUACCCCACUGAAAAGAAUAUCAAACUUAAAACACUGCAAAUCUCUAUGAGAGUUCUGCAGUUCCACACAGCCAAGUUUUCCUUUGGCUUUAUGGACACGCUAGGUACCACUCGACUUUGCUGGUAUGUGUAUUCAUUUAUAUUCAUGCAGACAGUGCUGAUCUCAUUAGAAAUAAUAGCAUGUGCUGCUGGUCAUCCACGCAUGCUGCGAGUGGCCGCUACCAUACCAGCAUGUGGGGGGAAUCCUUUGGUCUAACUGGUUUGCUCGCUUGCAGCCUCCACGCAGGGGCUCCAGAGGUGGAGAAGCAUACGGCGAGGAGCCGAGGGGGACAACGUCUGCUGCCCACCCUGGCACUGCUCUGCGGGGCAGCUUCUGGACAAGGUCAGAGCAUAGGCAUCAGACUUUGGGGUGAAACCAACAUCGGAAAGGUACUCCAGGAGGACAAUUCCUGUGCUCCAGCCCGUCGGCACAUGGGACCAGACUGAAAAACCCAACCACACGUACAAUAUGGAUGUGAGGUCCUCAUUACCAGCUGUAGAUCUGCUCCCGUUUGGCUGUUUAGCUUUCUAAUGUAGAUACAGCCAUCUGACACCCAGAAUCCAUCAGCAGGGAGAAAAUGGAAGAGGCUAUAAGAACAAAAACUUGCAGUGGUUGAAGGUGUUAAACUGGAUCCAUAACGAGAAGAACAAAUUGAUUAAGCAACACACCAGUUAUGGAAAAGACUCAAAAAUAGCACCAAAGAGAGGACAGGGCAAUACUGUGAAUUUCAACUCUUUGAUGAACCAUCAUUCAAGAUAAUGACAGUUUCGGUGGAGAGACGAUGGGAGCUGGGAUAUAUUUUACUUAAGUAUAGCCAGCUCAUUAAUUCAUGCUGUACAGAAGCCAUGAAGGAGGGAAAAUACACUCUUGCCUCACCAGUGAAGUAAAUGGAUUAAUGUAGGCAGCAGCAUACGGCCAGGGUUCUCCGAGAGGUGACAGCACUUCCUCUGCAAAGGACUGCCAAGUAACAAGCUGUUCAUGAAUGCAUCUUUAGGGGUAUGGACUGUUCCCCACCAGGGACGGCAUGAAUACAUGGACACCCUGGAUUUUGUUCAACCACUUAGACCAAGGCACUUGCUGUCGCCUGUCUCUUGCUCCCUGGUACCAGCCAUGAGGCAGCACCGACGAACUCUUUUCAAAGUCUCACGGUUUGGGUCUGUUCAGGAAAAAAAGUGCCUAUUGCCACUUCACCUGAUAUGCUGGAGGGCUCUAAAAAUAAGACAUGGAAAAAGCAAUUGCCAUAGCUCCUGUCCUGGCGCUUCUGUAGACGUUGGCUUUUCCAUUCGUCCAGGUUAGACUACUGCCACUUCACAGUGCACUUCAUCUACCAGAAUGAGAUUGGUGCCAUUUAUAUGUGUCUUCUAUAUUUAUGUUUGUUAUUUUUAUAUUUUGGAAAUCUUAUCCCCUAUGAUUUUUGCUUUUGCUUGACUGGCCCCACUUGCAUGGUAACUCUCUUCCAUUAUUUCCCAUCGUGAUUCAGAGUGGGUGUUUGAUUAGCCAGAAGCUGGGAGGCUACACAAGGUGGGAGACCCAAGAUCUCCCUAGAACCCUGCAGCUGGCUGGGUGACCUGAGGAAGGUUCCUCUCUCAGCCCGACAUCCUUUUAUAGUCGUAGAGAUAAUAAUAGAGAUUGGCCUCUCGUAUUUAAAAGGGCUCCGGACUCUCCACUGGAAGGUGGUCCUGCUUUCUGCAGUGUAUCUGUGUGUCCUCUCUCUGGUGUAUCCCUUACCGUGAUAUUAAAGGGGUUUCAUUGCAAAGAAGUGGGCUUUCCUUUUGUUUGUUUUGGUUUUAAGAUCAGAAUGAUACUUUUUUCAGUUUAUCACAAAAACAGUCAAUCAGCAAAAGGUUAUAGAUGUUAUCUCUUGCUCCAAAAGAAGAAAUGUUGUCUGCUGCGAUUCACACACUCUAUUAAUGAAAAAGUGUAGGCAGACCUUGGAGAUACAGGAGCCAUGUGUAAUCAGCAGAAAAAUCUGUCCUGCUCAGCCAAAUUGCCUCAUGAGAAUACAAAUGCCAAAAUGCUGUGAGUUUCGUGAAGUUGGGGCCUCCUGGUAGCACACAGUAUUUCUUCGUUUGUGGGCAAUUGAGGCGACGCUUCAGCAAAGCAGGGACUCAAAUCACAGCACCUCCCUGCUAUGCACAGGUUCACCAGAGAUGUCUGAUCCAGCCAAAAUGUGCAUAAUCAGCCUGGGACACAAGAUGAAUAGUUGUGAUGGAAGCUGAAUCUUUCAUUUGCUCUUUAUAUUUUCUGCCUUUUCUUUGGGUUUGUUUUCCUCUCUUUUCUUCCUUUGCAAUUGUCAAGGAAGCAUCUGUGAGUUUUAUUAAACAAAUGUUACACAUUAAAACCCCAUUGCUGCCUGCCAGAAAGGAAAAUGGCAUCUUAUUUGAAAACAAUAUGUAAUUGUUAUUGCUGUCUUGUUGCAAGUUACGCCCUUGAAAAAUGGUAGGGACUUAUUUAGUAGCAACUGAUGCUGAGGAAAAGUAUUAUAACUAAAGCAGAAAAUUAACUGUUGCGUUAUCUUUGGGAAAUACAAUACACAGUUUCAAAC